rnacentral:rRNA from 3 species
GGGUUGUGAGGUUAAGCGACUAAGCGUACACGGUGGAUGCCCUGGCAGUCAGAGGCGAUGAAGGACGUGCUAAUCUGCGAUAAGCGCCGGUAAGGUGAUAUGAACCGUUAUAACCGGCGAUUUCCGAAUGGGGAAACCCAGUGUGAUUCGUCACACUAUCAUUAACUGAAUCCAUAGGUUAAUGAGGCGAACCGGGGGAACUGAAACAUCUAAGUACCCCGAGGAAAAGAAAUCAACCGAGAUUCCCCCAGUAGCGGCGAGCGAACGGGGAGGAGCCCAGAGCCUGAAUCAGCAUGUGUGUUAGUGGAAGCGUCUGGAAAGGCGCGCGAUACAGGGUGACAGCCCCGUACACAAAAGCGCAUGUGCUGUGAGCUCGAUGAGUAGGGCGGGACACGUGGUAUCCUGUCUGAAUAUGGGGGGACCAUCCUCCAAGGCUAAAUACUCCUGACUGACCGAUAGUGAACCAGUACCGUGAGGGAAAGGCGAAAAGAACCCCGGCGAGGGGAGUGAAAAAGAACCUGAAACCGUGUACGUACAAGCAGUGGGAGCACCCUUUGGGGUGUGACUGCGUACCUUUUGUAUAAUGGGUCAGCGACUUAUAUUCUGUAGCAAG